ACGAACGCUGGCGGCGUGCUUAACACAUGCAAGUCGAACGGUAAGGCCCCAGCUUGCUGGGGUACACGAGUGGCGAACGGGUGAGUAACACGUGGGUGACCUGCCCCGCACUUCGGGAUAAGCCUGGGAAACUGGGUCUAAUACCGGAUAGGACCGCACCGUGAGGGUGUGGUGGAAAGUUUUUCGGUGUGGGAUGGGCCCGCGGCCUAUCAGCUUGUUGGUGGGGUAAUGGCCUACCAAGGCGGCGACGGGUAGCCGGCCUGGGAGGGUGGACCGCCACAUUGGGACUGAGACACGGCCCAGACUCCUACGGGAGGCAGCAGUGGGGAAUAUUGCACAAUGGGCGGAAGCCUGAUGCAGCGACGCCGCGUGGGGGAUGACGGCCUUCGGGUUGUAAACUCCUUUCACCAUCGACGAAGGUUUUCUGACGGUAGAUGGAGAAGAAGCACCGGCUAACUACGUG
rnacentral:rRNA from 1 species